GCCGCCGUAGCUAAGCCCGGUAUAGCGGCGGUCCCCACGGGGGCUGAUGCUGUUAAGGCGAGCGCCGCAGACACCCGUAGGUCCCGGGAGGGGAAUCCCCCGGGAAUUCGAAUCCCGGCGGCGGCGCCA
rnacentral:tRNA from 1 species